UACGGAGGGUGCAAACGUUGCUCGGAAUCAUUGGGCGUAAAGCGCACGUAGGCGGUUCCUUUAAGUCGGGUUGUGAAAGCCCUCGGCUCAACCGAGGAAGUGCAUUCGAAACUGGGGGACUUGAAUACGUGGAGAGGAUGGCGGAAUUCCCGGUGUAGAGGUGAAAUGCGUAGAUAUCCGGAGGAACACCGGUGGCGAAGGCGGCUUCCUGGACCGAUACUGACGCUGAGGCGCGAAAGCUAGGGGAGCAAACGGG
rnacentral:rRNA from 1 species